AGCAGGCGCGCAAAUUACCCAAUCCCGACACGGGGAGGUAGUGACAAUAAAUAACAAUACGGGGUUCUUUAGGAUCUCGUAAUUGGAAUGAGUACAAUUUAAAUCUCUUAACGAGGAACAAUUGGAGGGCAAGUCUGGUGCCAGCAGCCGCGGUAAUUCCAGCUCCAAUAGCGUAUAUUAAAGUUGUUGCAGUUAAAAAGCUCGUAGUUGAAUUUCGGGGUUAGUAGGUUGGUCAUGCCUCUGGUAUGUACUGGUCUCACUGAUUCCUCCUUCCUUAUGAACCGUAAUGCCAUUAAUUUGGUGUUGCGGGAAAUUUGGACUGUUACUUUGAAAAAAUUAGAGUGUCUAAAGCAAGCUAACGCUUGAAUACAUUAGCAUGGAAUAAUGAAAUAGGACGUUCGAUCUUAUUUUGUUGGUUUCUAGGAUUGACGUAAUGAUUAAUAGGGAUAGUUGGGGGCAUUAGUAUUCAAUUGUCAGAGGUGAAAUUCUUGGAUUUAUUGAAGACUAACUACUGCGAAAGCAUUUGCCAAGGAUGUUUUCAUUAAUCAAGAACGAAAGUUAGGGGAUCGAAGACGAUCAGAUACCGUCGUAGUCUUAACCAUAAACUAUGCCGACUAGGGAUCGGAUGAUGUUAAUUUUUUAAUGACUCAUUCGGCGCCUUACGGGAAACCAAAGU
rnacentral:rRNA from 1 species